AACUGGCUGCAUAUGGCCUAGCUCAGCACAGAUCCUGGAGGUAACAGGGUCCAUCUAGCCUACUGCUCCCAGUAAGUGACAAAAUAAUGCCAACAUUUUCCUAUUUACAUGUUGUGAUUUGUAUAGUUACGUGUACAAAUAACACGGUCACAUGAGACACAGCCAUC